rnacentral:rRNA from 1 species
AGUGAACGCUGGCGGCGUGCUUAACACACGCAAGUCGAACGAGAACGGAUUAUAGCUUGCUAUAAUUGUCAGCUAAGUGGCGCACGGGUGAGUAACGUAUAGGUAAUAUGCCUCUUACUAAGGGAUAACAAAUGGAAACGUUUGCUAAUACCUUAUACUCCUUAUUAACAGAAGUUAAUAAGGGAAAGAUUUAUUGGUAAGAGAUUAGCCUGUAUUGUAUCAGUUAGGUGGUGGGGUAAUGGCUUACCAAGACUAUGACACAUAACUGGUUUGAGAGGAUGAUCAGUCACACGUGAACUGAAACACGGUCCAGACUCCUACGGGAGGCAGCAGUGGGGAAUAUUGCACAAUGGGCGAAAGUCUGAUGCAGCAACGCCGCGUGUAGGAUGACACAUUUCGGUGCGUAAACUCCUUUUAUAUGAGAAGAUAAUGACGGUAUUAUAUGAAUAAGCACCGGCUAACUCCGUGCCAGCCGCCGCAGUAA